rnacentral:rRNA from 1 species
AGAGUUUGAUCCUGGCUCAGGACGAACGCUGGCGGCGUGCCUAACACAUGCAAGUCGAGCGGAGAUAUCUGAAUAGUUUACUAGGAAGGUAUCUUAGCGGCGGACGGGUGAGUAACGCGUGGGCAACCUGCCCUACAGAGGGGGAUAACAGUGCGAAAGUACUGCUAAUACCGCAUGACAUUGUCGGAUUGCAUGAUCUG